UUUCAUUAUUUUUUCUUUUCUUUAUUGAUCAUUUUUCUCUCGUUUUGCUUUGAUCUUCUCUCACACCUCACUAGGAUUUAAUGGUACAAGAUUGAUUUUUUGAUCAUAAUACAUAAAAGAAUACUUAUUAGAAUACCCAUCAUGAUUGGCUUUUCUAUUAAAUUGUCAAGGUCUUCCUAAUAACAAAUGACUAGCUUCCAUUGCUACUACAUCACACAACACCACAUCCUCAUAUAUUCUAAUUUUAAA
rnacentral:lncRNA from 1 species